AGCUGGUUCAACUGCAGUGGUGUUUACAACUAAUUUGAUCACAACCAGUUAUACAUUUCUUUGUUCCUUCCUCACUCCUGCUUCCUUUACUUGACUAGCCUAAA
ensembl:misc_RNA Y_RNA Y RNA